UUUAUGGAGAGUUUGAUCCUGGCUCAGGAUGAACGCUGGCGGCGUGCCUAAUACAUGCAAGUCGAGCGAACGGACGAGAAGCUUGCUUCUCUGAUGUUAGCGGCGGACGGGUGAGUAACACGUGGAUAACCUACCUAUAAGACUGGGAUAACUUCGGGAAACCGUAGCUAAUACCGGAUAAUAUUUUGAACCGCAUGGUUCAAAAGUGAAAGACGGUCUUGCUGUCACUUAUAGAUGGAUCCGCGCUGCAUUAGCUAGUUGGUAAGGUAACGGCUUACCAAGGCAACGAUGCAUAGCCGACCUGAGAGGGUGAUCGGCCACACUGGAACUGAGACACGGUCCAGACUCCUACGGGAGGCAGCAGUAGGGAAUCUUCCGCAAUGGGCGAAAGCCUGACGGAGCAACGCCGCGUGAGUGAUGAAGGUCUUCGGAUCGUAAAACUCUGUUAUUAGGGAAGAACAUAUGUGUAAGUAACUGUGCACAUCUUGACGGUACCUAAUCAGAAAGCCACGGCUAACUACGUGCCAGCAGCCGCGGUAAUACGUAGGUGGCAAGCGUUAUCCGGAAUUAUUGGGCGUAAAGCGCGCGUAGGCGGUUUUUUAAGUCUGAUGUGAAAGCCCACGGCUCAACCGUGGAGGGUCAUUGGAAACUGGAAAACUUGAGUGCAGAAGAGGAAAGUGGAAUUCCAUGUGUAGCGGUGAAAUGCGCAGAGAUAUGGAGGAACACCAGUGGCGAAGGCGACUUUCUGGUCUGUAACUGACGCUGAUGUGCGAAAGCGUGGGGAUCAAACAGGAUUAGAUACCCUGGUAGUCCACGCCGUAAACGAUGAGUGCUAAGUGUUAGGGGGUUUCCGCCCCUUAGUGCUGCAGCUAACGCAUUAAGCACUCCGCCUGGGGAGUACGACCGCAAGGUUGAAACUCAAAGGAAUUGACGGGGACCCGCACAAGCGGUGGAGCAUGUGGUUUAAUUCGAAGCAACGCGAAGAACCUUACCAAAUCUUGACAUCCUU
rnacentral:rRNA from 1 species